AACUAACGCUGGCGGCGUGCUUAACACAUGCAAGUCGUACGAGAAAGUCCGCUUCGGCGAAUGAGUAAAGUGGCGCACGGGUGCGUAACACGUGGGUAAUCUGCCCUUUAGUGGGGAAUAACUCGCCGAAAGGCGGGCUAAUACCUCAUAACACCAUUUCCACCUCGGUGGGAUGGUCAAAGACAGCCUCGGUUUACAAGCUGUCACUGAAGGAUGAGCCCGGGGCCUAUCAGCUUGUUGGGGAGGUAACGGCUCACCAAGGCUAUGACGGGGAGCUGGUCUGAGAGGAUGACCAGCCACACUGGAACUGAGACACGGUCCAGACUCCUACGGGAGGCAGCAGUGGGGAAUCUUGGGCAAUGGGGGCAACCCUGACCCAGCGACGCCGCGUGAGUGAGGAAGGUCUUCGGAUCGUAAAGCUCUGUCGGAUGGGAAGAAAUGUGUGAGAGUUAAUAGCUCUCACGCUUGACGGUACCAUCAAAGGAAGCACCGGCUAACUCCGUGCCAGCAGCCGCCGUAA
rnacentral:rRNA from 1 species